UACGUAGGGUGCAAGCGUUGUCCGGAAUUAUUGGGCGUAAAGAGCUCGUAGGCGGUCUGUCACGUCGGAUGUGAAAACUCGGGGCUCAACCUCGAGCCUGCAUACGAUACGGGCAGACUUGAGUUCGGCAGGGGAGACUGGAAUUCCUGGUGUAGCGGUGAAAUGCGCAGAUAUCAGGAGGAACACCGGUGGCGAAGGCGGGUCUCUGGGCCGAUACUGACGCUGAGGAGCGAAAGCGUGGGGAGCGAACAGG
rnacentral:rRNA from 1 species